AACUGUCCUGAUGGAUACUUCUGUCCUCCUGGUACCGGACAUCCAAACUCAUUUCCGUGCCAGUCUGGCUUCUUUAGGAAUGACUCGUAUGGACAUGGAGGAGAAGCUUGUGUGGAAUGUCCUCCUGGUCACUACUGUCCUACUCUGGCCACACACACUCCUACAGUCUGUCCACAGGGUUUCUACUGUACUGAGGGGAGCUCAGCCCCAGAGCCGUGUGAAGAGGGCACAUUUGGAUCCCGGCAAGCCCUGAGUGAAGCAUCACAGUGUACCCCAUGUAGUGGGGGGAAAUAUUGCACCGGUUUGGGCAAAUCUGAGCCCACAGGGGACUGUGAAGGAGGAUUCUAUUGUAGACAGAGGUCUACGAGUCCAGUUCCUCCUGAUGGUCAUGAAGGGGGUGUGUGUCCUGCUGGCAGUUUCUGCCCACCGGGUUCAGUUCACCCACAGCCCUGCCCUUCAGGAACCUACAGUAACAGCACGGGUCUCCAACAUGCAGAGCAGUGUGUCCACUGUCCUCCAGGUUAUUAUUGUUUAGGAACAAACUCUACAUCCCCUUCUGGUCCAUGCUUUGCGGGGUAUUACUGCACCGGAGGUUCAGCCACACCAGUCCAACAUGAAGCUGAGGAGGGACACUACUCUUUGGAAGGAGCUGUGAGGGCCGAACUGUGCCCAUUGGGAACCUUCCAACCAGUAAGUCACAUGUUUAGAGCAUUUACACCAUGUAACAUUUUCAUUGUAUUGUAUUCAUUGAAUCAAUUUAAUUAAAUUUCAGUUUCAUUUUCCAUUUUACUUCUUUUCCAUCAGGGAAGAGGCUACAACUCAUGCAUUGAAUGCCAAUCAGGAAGAUUGUGCAACAAGACAGGACUAUCCCAGCAGCCCCUGUGCCCACCUGGAAACUUCUGCCCUGCUGGAUCCUUAAUUGCUCACCCAUGUCCCCCUGGUACAUACACGGCAAGCUCAGGGGUGGAGGAUCUGCAGCACUGCGGCCCAUGUGAUGCUGGUCAGUACUGCCGCUCUCCUGGACUGACUGCUCCUCAGGGACCCUGUGAGCCUGGUUUUUACUGCACCGGUGGAUCUCAUGUUGCCUCUCCGAUUAGCUCCAGAUAUGGUGACAUAUGCCCCAUGGGUUAUUACUGUCCAGCAGGCACCAGGCACCCUCAUGAGUACCCCUGUCCUCCUGGAACCUGGAGUAAUGCACUGGGGGCCCAAAAUGUGUCAUCGUGCUGGCUCUGCCCUGCUGGAUUCUUCUGCAACACCUCUGGCCUCACUCAGCCCACUGGAAUAUGUGCUCCAGGUACAAAAUGACAUAAUCUCAAAUUCCUCCAGAUUGACUUUUGUUUUUAAAAUUGACCAGAGUUCUUCUCCAUUCUGUCAUAUAGGGUUUUAUUGUGCGGGAGGCGCUAAAACGGCUAUGCCUGAUGAUGGGGUUACAGGAAACAGGUGUCCGACGCGGUAUUACUGUCCACAGGGGUGUACUUCCCCUCUGCACUGCCCUGA